AGACGCUUAAUCUAACAAAGAAUAUUGAUUUCGACUUAAUAAAUUUUGGUUUAAAUCCAAAAGCAUCUA
rnacentral:tRNA from 1 species